CAGAGUUUCUACGGUGGCUUUGCCCCCCUCUUUACUCUUCAGUGUACCCUUGAGGUACAUCUCUGCGGCAUCGACCACAAAGACGGCUGUUUUGGCAUCAAAAGGAUUUCUGGCAUUGAAGAGGCACUAAAGUUGGAUGUGGAAAAGCACUUAGGUCUCUCUGGUGUUCACUUUCAAGAUGACUUUGCCUCACCUUUCCAACAUCUCUACUCUUGGCUCUCAGCUUGUUGACCUGGGAUUCAGCAAUGUCAGCACGCUCCUGAGCUUCUUCCAUCUCAUGCUGGACUUUCCUG